rnacentral:rRNA from 1 species
UACGGAAGGCAGCAGUGGGGAAUAUUGCACAAUGGGCGAAAGCCUGAUGCAGCUAUGCCGCGUGUAUGAAGAAGGCCUUAAGGUUGUAAAGUACUUUCAUCGGGGAGGAAAAAACAAAACUAAUAAUUUUAUUUCUUGACGUUACCCGAAAAAGAAGCACCGGCUAACUCCGUGCCAGCAGCCGCGGUAAUACGGAGGGUGCUAGCGUUAAUCAGAAUUACUGGGCGUAAAGAGCACGUAGGUGGUUUUUUUAAGUCAGAUGUGAAAUCCCUGGGCUUAACCUAGGAACUGCAUUUUGAAACUGAAAUACUAGAGUAUCGUAGAGGGAGGUAGAAUUCUAGGUGUAGCGGUGAAAUGCGUAGAUAUCUGGAGGAAUACCUGUGGCGAAAGCGGCCUCCUAAACGAAUACUGACACUGAGGUGCGAAAGCGUGGGGAGCAAACAGGGAUUAGAUACC